AAUGAACGCUGGCGGCAGGCCUAACACAUGCAAGUCGAACGAGUGGCGGACGGGUGAGUAAUGUCUGGGAAACUGCCCGAUGGAGGGGGAUAACUACUGGAAACGGUAGCUAAUACCGCAUACCAUCGGAUGUGCCCAGAUGGGAUUAGCUAGUAGGUGGGGUAACGGCUCACCUAGGCGACGAUCCCUAGCUGGUCUGAAAGGAUGACCAGCCACACUGGAACUGAGACACGGUCCAGACUCCGACGGGAGGCAGCAGUGGGGAAUAUUGCACAAUGGGCGCAAGCCUGAUGCAGCCAUGCCGCGGGGAUGAAGAAGGCCUUCGGGUUGUAAAGUACUUUCAGUCGGGAGGCGUUACCCGCAGAAGAAGCACCGGCUAACUCCGUGCCAGCCGCCGCGGUAAUUC
rnacentral:rRNA from 1 species